GCGAAUGUGGCGGAAUUGGUAGACGCGCUGGUCUCAGAAGCCAGUGGGUAACACCGUGGGAGUUCGAGUCUCCCCAUUCGCA
rnacentral:tRNA from 1 species